rnacentral:rRNA from 1 species
GUAGGGAAUAUUGCGCAAUGGACGCAAGUCUGACGCAGCAACGCCGCGUGGGUGAUGAAGCUCUUUGGAGUGUAAAACCCUGUCAGUGGGGAAGAAACGUAGAGGGAGUAACUGCCCUUUACCUGACGGUACCCACAGAGGAAGUCCCGGCUAACUCCGUGCCAGCAGCCGCGGUAAUACGGGGGGGACGAGCGUUGUUCGGAUUUACUGGGCGUAAAGGGCGCGUAGGCGGACCUUCAAGUCGGGUGUGAAACCUGUCGGCUUAACUGACAGCCUGCACUUGAUACUGUUGGCCUUGAGUACGGGAGAGGAGAGCGGAAUUCCUGGUGUAGCGGUGAAAUGCGUAGAUAUCAGGAAGAACACCGGUUGCGAAGGCGGCUCUCUGGACCGAUACUGACGCUUAAGCGCGAAGGCUUGGGGAGCAAACAGGAUUAGAAACCCCGGUAGUCC